GGCGGGCGACCCGGGAGUGCGGUCUGGCGGAGGAGCCGGACACCGAGCCUACCGGCUCCAACUCGGCAGCUCCGCGGAAGUGAAAGGGAGGGAGCGGCGGGGAGGGGCGCGGGCGGCGCAUGUUUUGUCGUUCGAUGCGAUCGAGGAAAAGUGGAAUUUUGUCCGGUCGCACUGGAGGGACCGCCCUGGGCAGCUGUCCCAGGCCACCUUCUCCCCCCAGAUGGUCUCGUCCCCUCGCAGAGCGUCGUCCUGCUCCAGCCCACCUCGUCCUGAGGUCCAGGUGUGGGUAAUCUGGGAGCCUCAGAAACGUCAUCUGGGUGUCCUACAAAGAGCUCGGCAUCUCCCCUCCAAACAUGCCGCGUCUCCCAUCUCAGCAGCUGCAUCGCUGCAGCUCGGUCGUCAGCCCCUCACCCCAUCGGCGAGUCAUUAAACCCCUGGGCCCGCUUUACUUCCGUACUUCUUGACGCCUGUUUGUCGCUGCUGCCCUGCUCUGGCUUCCUCCACGCAGGCCACCGGCGUCUCCCACCUGGGUUACCGUAGUUACCUGCUCACUCAUUUUCCUGUCCGGUGGUUUUGCCCCACCCACAUCUCGAUAUUGCAGCCACAUAGAUGUUUUAUUGUAAAGUGCCACGUGUAAUCUCUUAGGGGAUGUUUGUCACCCUCAGGAUAAAGUCCUAUCUCCUUAACUUCUCUUUAUAAGGCCCUCCUAAUCCUGUCUCCUGCUAGAUCUCUCACCACCGGCCACUCUUCCCACCCGUCCUCAGUUCCAGCCUACCUGAACUGCUUUCAAAUUCUCUAAAUGUGCCCAGUCUGCUCUGGUUUCUGCAGCCCUCCCUAGUUUCCUUCUUUUCUGAGAGCUGGCUUCCUGCCUUUCCCUCACCUCCUUCCCCAAAGUGUGAAAUAAUUAGGGGCGCCCACUGCACCCCUGUCUCUGCAACAAACUAUAGCCCUUUCCUGUGGUGGCUUGUCGUCCGAGCAGGGGCUGUGUGGUGCUCAACAUUGUUUCCAGUUCCUAGGAAGAUCCUGGCAGUAGUGGUCGGAGCCAGUGACCCUUUUAGAACACACAGUGAGGGGCACAGGAAGCCGAUAGCCUUAGGUGUCUACUGACUGAUUCAUUUUAUAUUGCUGAGUUUUUCAGUUUUGAAUUCCUCUUCUCUUAGUUAAAGGUUUCUUUAUAAGAGUAACA
ensembl:lncRNA